rnacentral:rRNA from 1 species
AGUGAACGCUGGCGGUAGGCCUAACACAUGCAAGUCGAACGGCAGCACAGUAAGAGCUUGCUCUUACGGGUGGCGAGUGGCGGACGGGUGAGGAAUACAUCGGAAUCUACUUUUUCGUGGGGGAUAACGUAGGGAAACUUACGCUAAUACCGCAUACGACCUACCGGUGAAAGCAGGGGAUCUUCGGACCUUGCGCGAUUGAAUGAGCCGAUGUCGGAUUAGCUAGUUGGCGGGGUAAAGGCCCACCAAGGCGACGAUCCGUAGCUGGUCUGAGAGGAUGAUCAGCCACGCUGGAACUGAGACACGGUCCAGACUCCUACGGGAGGCAGCAGUGGGGAAUAUUGGACAAUGGGCGCAAGCCUGAUCCAGCCAUACCGCGUGGGUGAAGAAGGCCUUCGGGUUGUAAAGCCCUUUUGUUGGGAAAGAAAAGCAGCAGGUUAAUACCCCGCUGUUCUGACGGUACCCAAAGAAUAAGCACCGGCUAACUUCGUG